CAACACACACACGGAGGGUGGGGUUCGGAGGCCGGAUCUCACGCGCGCCGCUGGGCUGCGGCCGUCCAGGAGGCUCCUUCCUGCUGCCGCCAAGGAUGGAGAGCCGCUGGGGCCUCCUCUGGGUCUCGGUGCUGGGCUUCCUGGCGCACGUGCAAGGUCAGCGUGACUUCGAUUUGGCCGAUGCUCUCGACGACCCUGAGCCCACCAAGAAGCCGAACUCAGAUCUCUACCCAAAGCCGAAACCGCCGUAUCACCCGCAGCCCGGGAUGCCGGACGACAGUGGAAAUCUCUACCCAAGACCCAAACCUCCGUAUCACCCGCAGCCCGGGAUGCCGGACGACAGUGGAAAUAUCUACCCAAGGCCGAGGCCACACCCUCGCCCCCAGCCCGGCGGUUCUGAUGGUGGCGGAGGUUACUUCGGCAACACCGACCGGGAUGAUGGCCGCUACCCGCCCAGACCCAAGCCGCCCGCAGGAGGCGGUGGGAGCUACUACCCCAGCAACGACGGGUCCGGAAACACGCACGGAGGAGGGCGCUCUAGACCCAAAUCUUACGGAAAUAAUUAUGGCGGAGACGGAUACUCGACCUACGGGAACCCACAGGGUAACACGGUAGCGAAAAUCGUGUCUCCGGUCGUGUCCGUGCUGGUGGUCACGCUGGUGGGUGCCGCGGCCGGUUACUGCCAACGCAACCGCAUGAGGAACUGUUUGAGGACGAACGAACCAGCACACGUGUGAGGGUUGGGAGAUCCAGCGGUCGCUUGGGGAGACGCUCGGUGUAGACAGGAAUGCCGUUGGCGGCUCCUGGGACGCUUCCUUUCAUCGUCGACGUCACCCGCCGCCCUGACGUGGCUUCAGUUUGGCCCAGAAAGCAUCCCCAGUCCGCGGGACACGGUGCAUUCCUGAGCUUGACCGGGUUCCUCCUCGGGUUGAACAACGAUUCUUCCUUCCUCUGAUGGUUCGAUCGCGCACGUGGACAGAUGCCGACUCUGGAUUGGGUUCCCAGCGCUACCUCGGCCUGCAGGACGUGCAUGUGGGUGACCCCUGCGUGUCUCCCCAAAGCACAGUGCAGGGUCCCAGGACAUGGGUGCUGUCUUCUUCAGGGGUAUCGGGAACACCACUGGGGGUGGGGGAUGGUUUCCAGGAAGCUCUGGGCGGAAGUUUGGUGCAGGGUGAAUCUCCAUCCAAGGGCCAGUGCCCUCCAGUGCCCUCCAGUGCCCGCUAGUUUGGCUCUUGUGGGAUGCGGGAUUGUUACCCCUGGGGACGGCUUGGAUCAGCCCUCUCUGCCCUGUCCGUGACCUGCACGUGCCGAGGCUGGCUUUCGGGAUUGUGCAUGCACAGUUGCUCGAGUGCAAGCCGUCUCGGGGGCGGGAGGUGGGGGGCAGGGGUGGGGGAAGCGGCCUUAGGAUGCUUUUCCUUUUCCUGUGAAAUCUUAAGGUUUCGGGAUUGCUGGGAAAACAGGGGACAGCGAUCGCGAUGUGUGUCUCUUGACGGUCCUCUCGUAUCAGUUUCCAUGUGAUGCCCUGUAGGUUUCUGUCCUUUGUGCGAGGCCAUCAUUUUUCUUAGUCAAUGCUUUUUUUUUUUUUUUUUUAAGA